UACGUAGGGUCCAAGCGUUAUCCGGAAUCACUGGGCGUAAAGCGUGUGUAGGCGGGAGUUUAAGUGAGAUGCGAAAUCCGGUGGCUCAACCAUCUGGACUGUGUCUUAUACUGAACACCUAGAGGACGGCAGAGGCAAGUGGAAUUACUAGUGUAGCAGUGAAAUGCGUAGAUAUUAGUAGGAACACCAAUGGCGAAGGCAGCUUGCUGGGCCAUAUCUGACGCUGAGACACGAAAGCGUGGGGAGCGAACAGG
rnacentral:rRNA from 1 species